rnacentral:rRNA from 1 species
CGCGUAGGCUGAUUAACAAGUCAGAUGUGAAAUACCAAAGCUCAACUUUGGUGCUGCAUUUGAAACUGUUAGUCUCGAGGGUUGACGGAGAAAACGGAAUUCCACGUGUAGCGGUGAAAUGCGUAGAUAUGUGGAAGAACACCAGUGGCGAAAGCGGUUUUCUGGUUUAUACCUGACGCUGAGGCGCGAGAGCAAGGGAGCAAACA